CUAAAUUCAGGGGAGGAAAUGUCAUUUCACAGCACACUUCUGACCGUAACUCAAUCACCGAGUGUGUAGGUGUAAUGGUUUAGAGUAAAGAACAUAUGUUGUCUGUCACCUUUAAAAAGACCACUUUAUGAUUUUUUUCACGUACCUUUAUUGAGCGUAUAUACAUGUAAGUUGAGGGAGUAAAAUAACAGUCUGCCCAGGAAUUGGGUUCUUGUUUUUGAAAUUGUAUAAAAUAAACUGUUUUUUCUAACAGAUAAUUAACAUUUCACGGAGUCUGGUUUCCCUGCUCUGUGGGGAGCAGCUGACUCACUGAGCCACAGAGGUAUCACCAGUCCCUUCUCUGCCUCCCACCAAGAGUGGUUUUGUGCAAGGCUAAAGGGGUGGCCUUCGAUAAAGCUGUACACCAGGCAGUUUCUCUGAGCCCUGGAUCUCACUGACCCCACAUCUCCUCAUAAGAUGCCAGGACCCUCGCAUCCUCCUCUGCUCCCAACACAACUGCACUUGAGGCCAUUUAUUCACACCAAGUUAUGCGAGAUUUGGCAGUCAGCUACCAAGGAGAAUGACUUCUAAUAUGGCAGAGCUUGUCCAUUCCAGGAAGUGCUGAGCCCUUCUUGGGAGUCGUCUCAAAGCCUCUUAUUCCCAAUAUAUCUAUGACUGUUUUGGAAUUUGGAACUGCCUUCAAACAUCACGUCUCAUUUGUUCCAACAGCCUCUGUGGCAGCAGAGCUUCCUCCUUUGAGAGUGAUUUUGAUUUCUGGAAAUAACUAAAAGUCAUUCGGAAACCAAACCACCAAAAAAUGCUUUCUUACUACCAUGUCGUCAUCAAGCCCUCUCUUCGGUUCCUGUUGAUGCUCAGACGAGGGACCUUUGGCUUUGAGUGUGUUUGGUGACCAAGUGGAGGUUGUCUUUCAAGAUGAAUCACGUAAGCACCCAAGCCGUAAGGAGCAGCUUGAGCUCGAUGAUGAAGGCGGCAACUCUAAUCACCUCUUCAAGCCAGGCCGGGCAUCGGCAGCAAGUUUCGGCGGAGCCUUCUUCAGCCCCACUCUGGGAUGUCUUCAGGGCGAGUAUUGGUCAUCUAUUCGGUUUUGCAGAGAAACGUUGUGAUAGCAAUCUUUUUAAAGUUAUGUAUUGAUUUUAAUUAAAUAUUGACAUUGAAUAUUAAUCCACUUUUUACAAUAGAAAAAUUGGAAAAUACGUCAUCUCACUCAUCAGAAAUAACUACUCUUAACAAAUAGGCAUAAUUUAUUGCAGCCUUAUUUGUCUGUGUUUUCUAAUGCUUGAGGUCAUUCGUUAUAUACAAUUUUAUAUUUUACUUUUGCUUAAAAAUCAUAUCACUGGGUAGUUCAUAAAACUCUCUUCACAAACAUUUCAAUGGUUGCAUAAUAUUUCCUCAUAUAGAUAUAUCUUACUUUAAUUAUCCAAGGUGGACAUCUGGGUCAUUUCUUACUUAUAGUAAUACUGUCAUAAAUACCACUAUUCAUAAAUCUUUAUCUGCAUUUCUAAAUAUUUCCCUAGGAUAACAUCCUAGAAGCAUCACUUUAGGAUCAAAGGAUAUUGAAUUUUAAGGGUAUUUCCCCCCCACGUUUUAAAAUCUGAAUGACUUCUGAGGUUUGAUAAAACACGGUAUUUCACAAUUGCACAGACCUGCCAGUUUGAACUUGGAGACAUUUAGACCCCAUUGUAAAACAUUAUAAAGUUCUAUCUACGGACUCUUGGGUCCCUGCAUAUAUGUUUCUCCCAUCUACACGUGUCUCUUCAUUUCUUUGUCAUUCUGUUCACACAGUUGUUCAAAAUUUUCUAAAAACACAUGUUAAGAAAAAAUAGAAUUUCUGUUAAAACAUUUUUGGAUGAUAUGGGAGAAACUUAACAUGGUCAUCUCUGAAGAGAUGAACAGAGGAGGGUAGAAAAGUGAGAAUUUUAUUUUUGCUUUAUAUCUUUCUGUUCUAUUUGAACUUUCUAAUUAAAUGCAUCGCUUACAUUUUUUAAAUAACAAGGGUGAUCUUCAUGGUGUGACUGCAAGUUUCUGGUUUUUUCUUUAUGCUUUUUGAUAUUUAAAUAAAAGAUCCUUUUUUUGGAGGAAGAUUGGCCCU
rnacentral:lncRNA from 1 species